AUGGGGGAGGGGAACGGGACUGCGUGGGCGGGGGCGCUGUCGCCGGCGGCGCGGUACGCGGAGACGGGAGGGGCGAGCUUGACAUGGGAGAACCUAACGGCCGUGCUGCCUGGGUCCGGCGGCCGGCCGACCAAGAAGCUCUUGCAGGGGCUGUACGGCUACGCCGUGCCCGGCAGGAUCGUCGCCAUCAUGGGGCCCUCCGGCUCCGGCAAGUCCACCCUCCUCGACUCCCUCUCCGGGAGGCUGGCGAGGAAUGUGCUCCAAACCGGCAAGGUGCUGCUCAACGGCAAGAAGAGGCGGCUCGACUUUGGCGCGGUGGCGUACGUGACACAGGAGAACGUUCUGCUGGGCACGCUGACCGUCCGGGAGACGGUGACCUACUCGGCGCAGCUGCGGCUGCCGUCGAGCAUGUCAAAGGCUGAGGUGCGCCGUGUCGUCGACGACACGCUGGAUGAGAUGGGCCUCCGGGAGUGCGCUGAGCGGCCCAUCGGCACGUGGCACCUCCGGGGCAUCAGCGGCGGCGAGAAGAAGCGUCUGUGCAUCGCGCUGGAGAUCCUCACCCGGCCGCGCCUCCUCUUCCUCGAUGAGCCCACCAGCGGUCUCGACAGCGCCUCUGCCUUCUCCGUCAUCGAGACGCUCCGCACACUUGCCAUUGAUGGCGGACGCACCAUUGUCUCGUCGGUGCACCAGCCCAGCAGCGAGGUAUUCGCGCUCUUCGACGAUCUCUGCCUCCUCUCCAGUGGCGAGAGUGUCUACUUCGGGGAUGCCAAGCUUGCACCACAGUUCUUUGCAGAAACCGGAUUCCCCUGCCCGAGCCGGAGGAACCCUUCCGACCACUUCCUCCGGUGCGUCAAUUCGGACUUCGACGAUGUCGCCACGGCCCUGAAAGGAUCCAUGAAGCUCCAAGCAGAGGCAGAUCUUGAUCCCCUGUUGAAGUACUCGACUACGGAGAUCCGAGAGCGGCUCGUGGAUAAGUACCGGAUCUCAGACUACGCCAUGAUGGUUAGGAACACAAUACACGAGAUAAGCAAAAUAGAGGGUGUGAUGGAGGAGGCAGUGAAGGGCAGCCAAGCGACCUGGUGCAAGCAGCUGCGCACGCUGACCAAGCGCUCCUACAUCAACAUGUACCGUGACUUCGGCUACUACAGGCUGCGCAUCAUCAUCUACGUCCUGAUGGCCAUCUGCCUCGGUACCAUCUACUACGACGUCGGCAACGGCUACACUGCGAUCCAGGCGCGUGCCUCGUGCGGCGGCUUCGUCUCGGGCUUCAUGACGUUCAUGUCCAUCGGCGGCUUCCCCUCCUUCAUCGAGGAGAUGAAGGUCUUCUCCCUCGAGCGGCAGAACGGCCACUACGGCGUCGCCGCCUACAUCAUCUCCAACUUCCUCUCCUCCAUGCCGUUCCUGUUGACCAUGUCCUGGGCCAGCGCCUCCAUCACAUACUGGAUGGUCAAGUUCCGGCCAGGAUUCAGCUACUUCGCCUUCUUCGCCCUCAACCUCUAUGGUGGCGUCUCCGUCAUCGAGAGCCUCAUGAUGAUCAUCUCCGCUCUUGUGCCCAACUUCCUCAUGGGGCUCAUCCUUGGCGCCGGCGUCAUUGGGAUCAUGAUGUUGACGUCUGGAUUCUUCCGGCUCCUUCCAGAACUUCCCAAGAUAUUUUGGAAAUACCCAGUGUCCUACAUUGUCUACGGAUCUUGGGGUUUGAAGGGUGCAUACAAGAACGACCUGCUCGGGCUGGAGUUCGAGCCGAUGACGCCGGGAGGGGAGAAGCUGACUGGCGAGUUCAUCAUCACCAACAUGAUGGGGCUGAGCGUCAGCUACUCCAAGUGGCUAGACCUAGCCAUGAUCUUCAUACUCCUCCUGGCCUACCGCAUCACCUUCUUCUUCGUCCUCAAGGUCAAGGAGGCCGCCGCGCCCUACCUCCGCGUCGCCUACACGCGGUUCACCGUGAAGCGCCUUGAGCGGCGGGCGUCCUUCAGGGAGUCGCUGGCCAUGACGUCCUUGUCCAAGCGGCACAACGCACCGCACCCCAUGGCCAUGCAGGAGGGGCUCAACUCCCCCAUGCAGCAGUACUGA
rnacentral:rRNA from 1 species